AGGACGAACGCUGGCGGCGUGCCUAACACAUGCAAGUCGAACGCGCUCCAUUCGGUAGCAAUACUGAUGAAGAGCGAGUGGCGAACGGGUGAGUAGCACGUGAGCAACCUGCCCCGAAGACUGGGACAACACCGGGAAACCGGUGCUAAUACCGGAUAUCCCUAUCGGACCGCAUGAUCUGAUAAGGAAAUGGAUUCCGCUUCGGGAGGGGCUCGCGGCCUAUCAGCUAGUUGGUGGGGUAACGGCCCACCAAGGCAUCGACGGGUAGCUGGUCUGAGAGGACGAUCAGCCACACUGGGACUGAGACACGGCCCAGACUCCUACGGGAGGCAGCAGUGGGGAAUCUUGCGCAAUGGGCGAAAGCCUGACGCAGCAACGCCGCGUGGAGGACGAAGGCUUUCUGAGUUGUAAACUCCUUUCAGCAGGGACGAUAGUGACGGUACCUGCAGAAGAAGCACCGGCCAACUACGUGCCAGCAGCCG
rnacentral:rRNA from 1 species